rnacentral:lncRNA from 1 species
GGCGAAGACAAGGGAGAUCCGGCUACGUCCCUCCCCUAGGUCUCUGGAAGCUGAAGCCGCUGCAGCCAAGGCCUGGUUUCAUUCUGGCUGGGGGCUGAGGGCUGGAGUUGGACAGCCGGCCUCUCUGCGGUUCCCCCAUUAUGGCUUGGCAUCAGCAUCUAGAUUGCAGGAUUGAUGGAGCCAGAAACCUCCUGCAGGGGCCCCCAGAGGUUCUUGCAUCCAGUGUGGCAUCCAGACAGUGUGUGGUUAAUGAGUCCGAAGAAAGGACCAGCGUCGUGGAGGAGUCUGGCAGCCCUGCAGGAGCACCUGGAGCACCUGGCUGUGGAGGGGCUUCUGGAAGGAAGCACAGGAGCAGAGGAAGGAGAAGGAGUUCAAAUGCCCGUACCUCCCGGGAGUUCCCAUCGUGGCGCAGUGGAAACGAAUCCAACUAGGAACCAUAAAGUUGCAGGUUCAUCAUUUUCUGGGACCAGAGUCCAGUCUCCUGAAUUCUAGCUCUUCUUGGGAACAGCAGGUAGAAGGAGUGAAUCCUACAGGACUCCCAGGACAGCCCUUCUGCUCUUUCAGGGCAGUCACCUUGUCCACACCCCACCUUAUCUUCUUGGGGCUACACCUGCCAGGCCUCCUUACGCUGCCGCUUUAGAGUCCCCACACAACCUCAGCUCUGACAAGAACUGAUUACGCUUCCGGUCUGAUGGCAGCGCCCCUGGUUUCCAGGGAGUUCCGAGUCUGGGAGAUAGUCUUCUGACAACCAAAACAAUGAAUAGCAAAAUUGCACGGGCACUUGGGACUGUUGGAUGUCCAGCUGGCACACUUGCUGGUCUAGAAAUGUCCUCAGAGGUGAGUGGGUUUAGUCAAGUCGACCAGAGAGAAGAAUUUUUUAAUUCUAAAACAGCUGUCCUUAUAAAAUAAAAAUAAAUAAAAUAAAACA